AGAGUUUAACAGCCUAUUGAGAUCUGACAACGAACCUGUGCUGUUUAUGUACUUCCAAAUGCAACACGAAAGUGAUCUUAUUGUCUGUGCAAGAAGCCUCAAAGCAAGUGAAGGAAAAACUAGGAUCUUCUUUUUAUUUCUUGAUGUCAAAAAGAAAAUGAACUAGGAAACCCUUUUAGUUUAAGAAAAUCUGGUUCAAAGGUUGUAGCAAGGAAUUUAACUCUUAAAAAAGGUUGUGACCCUUUUAAAAUAUUGGUUAAUUUAGAAAAUUAAAUUUAAGCAAAAAGAAAUCCCUUCUCUCCGCUCCACCAAUGCUGGACUAAAAAAAUUCAAGAAACACUAGGAAUUAGUUAAAAUCUCUUUUAAAUAUUAACACACUAAGUUCUAGUUAUUGAUUAGUAUGGAAGAAUCGAUUUACAAAGCACCUGCAUAAUGACCAUCUCUCAAGCUAAACAAUUCUCUGUAGUGGUGGAGCAAUUACCUCGCAUUUAAAUCAGUCUCGUGCUCUUCACUUCUGAAGUCCCCCCUACUUGCUUAACAAUUUUGCUUCUUACAUUCACACCCUUCCUUCGACCUUGGUCUCAUUUCUUUCUUACAUUCUUAAGACUACUUGUUCUCUUGCUCUCACCAAUGUAUACUAUUUGUUCUCUUCUUCACCAUGCUUCAAUCUAGUAUUCGCCUUGUAUGGUGGGUAUUAUAUUUUGAGGUCAGCUCUCCUUAAUUUUUUACUCUCUAAUGUUCAAAUAGAAAUAAAUCAACCGAUCACAACAGAAAUAAGAAAAGCUUUUCCAUAAUCAAAAGUCAGUGAGUUCAUAUUUUAUAGAAAUUUAUAUUCUUGUUAUAAAUAGUUUAAGUAUGAUGAUGCUUUUUAUCUACACAGACAUUAUCAUUACCCUUUUGAUUUGACAAAUCACAUGAGUAAGGCUCCAUCCAAUGUGAAGAUGUUUUAUGAAUGUUAUACCUGGGCGAAAUAAUGACAAGCAUUAAGGAAAAAAUAGCUCAAGUACAUACAAAUCUACCUGAAGGAGUUUCAGAUGAGGUGAAUAUCAAUGAAACCUUCUCAAAAGUCAUGUAAAAAUAUUAUUAGUUAAUCAUUGACCAAGAGCCUUGUUAUUGAAGUUUGCUUUGUUGCAACUUCACCAAAUCAGAUGAAAUUUUUUAAUCAAAUUUGGUGUGUAGUAUUAUAUUUUCUCUAAAUACUUAAGCACAUCUAAUAUUAUCAAUGGAUGAUGAAUUGAUGUA